UUUUUUACUAAUAAUACUAGUUGAAUAAUAAUUAUCCUUUCGCAAGGCCAAACUGAUUUUCUGUAAGAGUUUCAGAAUUUGUAAUUUUUUAAAAUAUCUUAAUUCUCAGAAUAUAUGUGUUAUUGUCCUAAUUUUUUGAUUGUUUAGAGAGGUUAAGUUUGAUUUAAACAAAAUUACCAAAUAUCUUAAGAGAUAGUAAAAGAUUUUUUUUUUAAAUUACAACUUGUUAAAUGUUUUUUUUUUAGAGAAAGGUAGCAUGCGACCCGCUUCAUUUGUUUUAUUUAGAAAUAAAUUUAGCUGAAAAUGUGAAUCAACUAGGAUUCAAACUUACAUCUCGGGUAUCAACUACCAAACCCUUUACCACUUGCUCUGGGGACAGUCGGUACAACUUGUUAAAUGUUACUUGA
rnacentral:lncRNA from 1 species